rnacentral:rRNA from 1 species
UACGGAGGGUGCAAGCGUUAUCCGGAUUCACUGGGUUUAAAGGGUGCGUAGGUGGGUUGGUAAGUCAGUGGUGAAAUCCCCGAGCUUAACUUGGGAACUGCCAUUGAUACUAUCAGUCUUGAAUAUCGUGGAGGUUAGCGGAAUAUGUCAUGUAGCGGUGAAAUGCUUAGAUAUGACAUAGAACACCAAUUGCGAAGGCAGCUGGCUACACGAAUAUUGACACUGAGGCACGAAAGCGUGGGGAUCAAACAGGAUUAGAAACCCUCGUAGUCC